GAGUGGUGUUUGGUUUGUUACGUGUGGUUGGCUGCGGCGUUUGCAACAACUUCCAUGCUUUCAGACCUCUUCAGUUGUGCGGCAAGGCUUGUAUCGCCUUGAGCGUAUUGUGGGUUUUCUGUGUUGGCUACCUAAUCAAUGGUAUCGGUUGGAUUGAUCAAUGUUUCAUUUCGUCUACCGUCGCAUUCGCGGCGUGAGAUGAACCUUGAUGUGGUCUCUUUGAUCCACCUCGUCGAAGCGCUUGCUUUGGCGUUGUGGCACAUUGAGCAUUGCUUGGUCUCUUGUAUACGGAAUAUAUAGUGGGCAUGGAUCUAACGAUUCUCGUUUGCCCUCAUAUUAGCGUGACGCUUCUCUUAAACGACUUGCUCCACGUUUAGCUCGUAC
rnacentral:misc_RNA from 1 species